rnacentral:rRNA from 1 species
AGUGAACGCUGGCGGUAGGCCUAACACAUGCAAGUCGAACGAGUGGCGGACGGGUGAGGAAUACAUCGGAAUCUACUCUGUCGUGGGGGAUAACGUAGGGAAACUUACGCUAAUACCGCAUACGAUUGAAUGAGCCGAUGUCGGAUUAGCUAGUGGGCGGGUUAAAGGCCCACCAAGGCGACGAUCCGUAGCUUGUCUGAGAGGAUGAUCAGCAACACUGGAACGGAGACACGGUCAAGAGUCCUACGGGAGGCAGAAGUGGGGAAUAUUGGACAAGGGGCGAAAGCCUGAUACAGCCAUACCGCGUGGGUGAAGAAGGCCUUCGGGUUGUAAAGCCCUUUUGUGGGGAAAGCGGUACCCAAAGAAUAAGCACCGGCUAACUUCGUGCCAGCAGCCGCGGUAAUUC